GGCUCUGGCUCCUGUUCUGCCCUCAUCAAGCUGCUCCCUGGCCAGAGUGACCUCCUGGUUGCCCACAACACCUGGAACAACUACCAGCACAUGCUGCGUGUCAUCAAGAAGUACUGGCUCCAGUUCCGGGAAGGCCCCUGGGGUAGGUGGGUGUGGGUGUGUCUGGGGGAUGAGCAGGUGGGUGGGCACACACGUGGGGAGUGGUCCUAGGAGGUUUGGGCCUUGGAAACCCUCCCAACACACGGAGUCACUGCAGGGAUAUUCCAAGAGUUCAUUUUGGUUUUGUUUUUUUCUUUUUGACCUGGGUGACAGUGCAAGACCUUGUCUCUAAUAAAGAAAAAAACAGUUUUACAGUCAAGGCCAAAGUCCUCCAUAGUGCCACAUCCUUCAUCCCAGGCCCCAGCAUCAGCCCCAGGGAUACCACUGCCAAAUGUUUGCAGUACCUCCUUCAUGGCCAAAUGUAAAAACUUGAUGGGACCAGGAGCUGGUGAGGAGGUGGGGAAGUGUCCAGCCUUAUUCAUUGCUAAUGGGAGUAUGCGUUGGCACAGCUACUUUUAAGAGGAAUCCAGCUGGCAUCUAAUAAAAUUCAAAAUCUGUC
rnacentral:lncRNA from 1 species